AGAUGAAGAGCACUACUGUCUUCAUGGAAAAUAAACUCAUUAUUUGUCGGGACGAUUCCUCGUUGGGACAUACUUAUUCUACGAAUAUACGAAAAAUAAUAAAAUUUAGUUUUAAAAUUAAAAAUUAUUUGUUCUCAAAGGAAGUAAAUACUAGUAUGUAUUUUUGUGAAUAAUAAAAUAUUAUUAGAUAAGACGUUUUGCGACAAAAUGGCAUGUCCUUAAAAUAUUUGAAACAUAGCAAAGUAUUAAUUACAGCGUAAUUAAUACAACUUUUUUUAUUUAAUUAUUUAAUACAUUAGACAACUUGAUUACAAUAAAGAGCUAUUUUGUUACUCAUUA